CCGCGGGAGAAAGAGCGCCGAGCACAUCGAAUGAAGAAACUCCGCUUGCUGAGCUCCCGCGCUUGCACUUACUGAGAAUUUGCUGUGUGCCAGGCUUGCGCUAGAAGUUCUACGAACUUGGCAUCAUUUAAUCCUCACUGUAUUCCUGUGAGAGAACUCCUCACCAGAGUCAUCCGUCUGCACUUCAUUGGCCAGAGCCAUCUCACAUGUCUCUCUGUAGCUACAGCGGAGUCCAGCAUUCUUGUUGACAAUGUGUCUGUUUGAGGGGCGA